CGUCUAGGUGGUUUGAUAAGUCUGAUGUGAAAAUGCGGGGCUCAACUCCGUAUUGCGUUGGAAACUGUCAAACUAGAGUAUCGGAGAGGUGGGCGGAACUACAAGUGUAGAGGUGAAAUUCGUAGAUAUUUGUAGGAAUGCCGAUAGAGAAGUCAGCUCAUUGGACGAAUACUGACACUGAAGCGCGAAAGCAUGGGGAGCAAACA
rnacentral:rRNA from 1 species